CUGUCUCUCUUCCCUAUCUUUCUCUCUCACUCAGUCUCUCUCAUCUCUUCCCUCUAGCUUAUCUUGCCUAUCUCUCACUCAGUCUCGCGUAGCCUUCCUCUCGACUGGACCCAGGCAGCCUUCUCCUCAUCCUUCCUUCCUCCCGACUGCACCCAGCCAGGAUGGCUCUGUAGAUCCUGAUUCUUUGAGCACUAGCAUUAGCACUGAUAUAGAACCUCUUCCAGGCCUUGCAUCCAUACUUGAAGAGCUAGUACAGGAAGAUGGGUUUGCUCUUUUCGGACUUUGCAGAUAAGCUGUUUGAGCCUCGACCGCCUUUGGAUUUCAAACCACCUUCGGAGAAGAAAAAGUGCCCACCUUUGACAGGUACAGCCAUGAAAAUAAGUGGUUAGCAUUGGACAGAGAUCAAUAAUUGAUUUAUUAAGUACUAGAACACAACUCCUAAGUUGACGUUACAUUUGUAUACUCUGUAUACAGAGAUUAAUAUUUGAUUUAUGCAGUAGUAGUACAUGACUCUUAAAUUGAAGUUGCAGUUGUAUACUCUGUAUACCUUUUUU